rnacentral:tRNA from 1 species
GCCUCAGUAGCUCAGUGGUAGAGCACUGCUCCCGUAAAGCAGGGGUCGCGGGUUCAAAUCCUGCCUGAGGCU